AUGAAACACUCCUACGGGAGGCAGCAGUGGGGAAUAUUGGACAAUGGGCGCAAGCCUGAUCCAGCCAUGCCGCGUGUGUGAAGAAGGCCUUUUGGUUGUAAAGCACUUUAAGCGAGGAGGAGGCUACUUGGAUUAAUACUCUAGGAUGGUGGACGUUACUCGCAGAAUAAGCACCGGCUAACUCUGUGCCAGCAGCCGCGGUAAUACAGAGGGUGCGAGCGUUAAUCGGAUUUACUGGGCGUAAAGCGUGCGUAGGCGGCUUCUUAAGUCGGAUGUGAAAUCCCUGAGCUUAACUUAGGAAUUGCAUUCGAUACUGGGAAGCUAGAGUAUGGGAGAGGAUGGUAGAAUUCCAGGUGUAGCGGUGAAAUGCGUAGAGAUCUGGAGGAAUACCGAUGGCGAAGGCAGCCAUCUGGCCUAAUACUGACGCUGAGGUACGAAAGCAUGGGGAGCAAACAGGAUUAGAAACCCCAGUAGUCCGAAGUUC
rnacentral:rRNA from 1 species